CCUACGGGUGGCAGCAGUGAGGAAUAUUGGUCAAUGGACGCAAGUCUGAACCAGCCAUGUAGCGUGAAGGAUGACGGCUCUAUGAGUUGUAAACUGCUUUUGUACGGGGGUAAACGGAGAUACGUGUAUCUGUUUGAAUGUACCGUAUGAAUAAGGAUCGGCUAACUCCGUGCCAGCAGCCGCGGUAAUACGGAGGAUUCAAGCGUUAUCCGGAUUUAUUGGGUUUAAAGGGAGCGUAGUCGGGCAGAUAAGUUAGAUGUGAAAUCACGAGGCUCAACCUCGGAAUUGCCUCUGAUACUGGUCGGCUAGAGAAUAGGUGCGGUAGGCGGAAUGCGUGGUGUAGCGGUGAAAUGCUUAGAGAUCAGGCAGAACACCGAUUGCGAAGGCAGCUUACCAAGCUGCUACUGACGUUGAGGCACGAAAGCGUGGGGAGCAAACAGGAUUAGAUACCCUUGUAGUC
rnacentral:rRNA from 1 species